rnacentral:rRNA from 1 species
UACGUAGGGUCCGAGCGUUGUUCGGAAUUACUGGGCGUAAAGGGCUCGUAGGCGGCCAACUAAGUCAUACGUGAAAUCCCUCGGCUUAACCGGGGAACUGCGUCUGAUACUGGAUGGCUUGAGUUCGGGAGAGGGAUGCGGAAUUCCAGGUGUAGCGGUGAAAUGCGUAGAUAUCUGGAGGAACACCGGUGGCGAAGGCGGCAUCCUGGGCCAGCACUGACGCUCAUGCACGAAAGCGUGGGGAGCAAACAGG